ACCUCUUUGUUAGGUACAGCUAAUUUAAAAAAAAAAUCUGUCCUUAUCAGUUUAAUAUCUGAUACGUCCCCUAUCUGGGGACCAUAUAUUAAAUGGAUUUUUGGAACAGGGAGAUGGAAGAAGAGCUUGCUCUGUCCACUCCACGCAUCGACCUGGUAUUGCAGUACCUCCAGGACCGGUGCACCUCUC
ensembl:snRNA U2 U2 spliceosomal RNA